GCGGUACCGGUUCACGUCCUGCGGGACGACCCGGCGACU
rnacentral:ncRNA from 1 species